AACGAACGCUGGCGACAUGCCUAACACAUGCAAGUCGAACGAGAUCUUCGGGUCUAGUGGCGCACGGGUGCGUAACGCGUGGGAAUCUGCCCUUUGGUUCGGAAUAACAGUUGGAAACGACUGCUUAUACCGGAUGAUGACGAAAGUCCAAAGAUUUAUCGCCAGAGGAUGAGCCCGCGUAGGAUUAGCUAGUUGGUGUGGUAAAGGCGCACCAAGGCGACGAUCCUUAGCUGGUCUGAGAGGAUGAUGAGACACACUGGGACUGAGACACGGCCAAGACUCCUACGGGAGGCAGCAGUGGGGAAUAGUGGACAAUGGGCGAAAGCCUGAUCCAGCAAUGCCGCGUGAGUGAUGAAGGCCUUAGGGUUGUAAGCUCUUUUACCCGGGAUGAUAAUGACAGUACCGGGAGAAUAAGCUCCGGCUAACUCCGUGCCAGCCGCCGCCGUAA
rnacentral:rRNA from 1 species